UGGUGGAAUAUGCUAGACAUCAUACAAAAUACAUGUAUGAAGAUUUGAAUUUGGUGACAACAUACCUUUCAUAGAGAUAUGAAAAAUUGUGGUAUAUAUGUGUAUUAAGAAUUGUAAUGCAAAAAAGAGUACUUGUUUAAUGGCAUAAAUUAGCGUGAACAUUAUUUAUAUACAGAGAUAUGAGAAAUUGUGCUCUAUAUGUAUAAUAAGGAUUGUAAUGCAUUCCAGUAUUGCCAUGUAUUAAAAAAAAAUAAAUUUACAAAAAAGAAAGGUAUUGGAACUCCUUGGGGACACUAUAAGCCUACAGGGUAAAAAUUGUAACACCUUGAAAACACAGAGCUGGAAGGGAAGAAGCAUGAACAACAUGAAAAACCAAGCAAGAAUGUGCCCCAAACAAAGAUGCUACAUUAUUAGAACCCAUGGUCAGAACAGCAGGAGAAAUGACAGAAGGAGUGGAGGAGGUACAUAAUUUUCUGUGAAUUAAAGGAUGAUAUAAGAGAGCAAAUAUAGGCAGCAAAGAUCAUUUUGAUAAAGAGAUAAGCAAAUACAGAAAGCAA
rnacentral:lncRNA from 1 species